rnacentral:lncRNA from 1 species
UUCGCUCUCAAUUUCCAUCGAAGCUUGAGCGAGCCCUAAUUUUUCCCUUCUUGAGGUGCCGCUGCCGCCGCCGCUGCAACUGGAAGUCCGACGUGAUUCGCCGCGCCGCUGCACCCGUAGCGGCGUCCGCUGGUCGUCAGGUCGCCGACUGCUGCUGUUUCUCAGAUUCCGACAAGGCAGCUCGCCGUCGUCGCUUCCUUGAGCUCGACUAAACAGGACAGUCGGCUUCCCCCCUCAAAAGCUAACUUCAACAAUCCUAUGAUAUUCUGUUUUCGAUCAUAUAUUAUGCUCUUCGAUUUGCUGCUAUUCUCAUAGCUCGUGAAAUCUUGGUUAUUCUAUACUCUUGUUAUGAAAUGCUGUGGUUUUGCUACUGAUUAUGCAAAUUCUCAAUGCUAUUGAAUUGUGUGUGAGCUUAUAGGUUGUUGGUUGUUCUAGGUGACUACCGAUUAUGUUGUUCUUUCUGUACUAACUCAAGCUCAUUCUAAAUUACAUAAGUGUGUGACUUUGCUAAGUCCAUUAUGCAAAUAUACAUCUAUACACAGUCUGCUCUUUCUAAUUAAUCGUGCUUGUUAGAUGAUAUGCGAACUGGAUGGAUAUUUGGUAUAGAAUUAAUACCUUGAAGUAUAAAUGUUGGUUGACUGUUGUUGCUGAGUUGAAUGAAUUG